GAUGAACGCUAGCGGCAGGCUUAAUACAUGCAAGUCGAGGGGCAGCAUGAGUGUAGCAAUACAUUUGAUGGCGACCGGCAAACGGGUGCGGAACACGUACACAACCUUCCUAUAAGUGGGGAAUAGCCCAGAGAAAUUUGGAUUAAUACCCCGUAACAUAAUGAUGUGGCAUCACAUUAUUAUUAUAGCUUCGGCGCUUAUUGAUGGGUGUGCGGCUGAUUAGAUAGUUGGCGGGGUAACGGCCCACCAAGUCUACGAUCAGUAGCUGAUGUGAGAGCAUGAUCAGCCACACGGGCACUGAGACACGGGCCCGACUCCUACGGGAGGCAGCAGUAAGGAAUAUUGGUCAAUGGACGCAAGUCUGAACCAGCCAUGCCGCGUGAAGGAUUAAGGUCCUCUGGAUUGUAAACUUCUUUAUCUGGACGAAAAAGGCUAUUCUUAGUCACUUGACGGUACCAGAUGAUAAGCACCGGCUAACU
rnacentral:rRNA from 1 species